UGUUGAACGUGAAGGAUAACGUUGCGUCAGCAACGGCCCGUAGGGCGAGGCAAAGCCGAGUCAUCCUGCACGACCCACCA
rnacentral:sRNA from 1 species